rnacentral:rRNA from 1 species
GACCUCGGGUCAGGUAGGAAUACCCGCUGAACUUAAGCAUAUCAAUAAGCGGAGGAAAAGAAACCAACAGGGAUUGCCUCAGUAACGGCGAGUGAAGCGGCAAAAGCUCAAAUUUGAAAUCUGACCCUUCGGGUCCGAGUUGUAAUUUGCAGAGGAUGUUUCGGGUAAGAUUUAGGUCUAAGUUCCUUGGAACAGGACGUCAUAGAGGGUGAGAAUCCCGUACGUGACCGUUGAUCGCACCCAUGUGAAACUCCUUCGACGAGUCGAGUUGUUUGGGAAUGCAGCUCAAAAUGGGUGGUAAAUUUCAUCUAAAGCUAAAUAUUGGCCAGAGACCGAUAGCGCACAAGUAGAGUGAUCGAAAGAUGAAAAGCACUUUGAAAAGAGAGUUAAACAGUAUGUGAAAUUGUUGAAAGGGAAGCGC